UAAUCGUAGAUAGAAACUGACCUGGCUUACGCCGGUCUGAACUCAGAUCACGUAGGAUUUUAAUGGUCGAACAGACCAACCCUUAGGAG
rnacentral:rRNA from 1 species